GCUGGGUGCUGUGGUGUGCACCUGUAAUCCCAGCUACUGAGGAGCUGAAGCAGGAGGAUUUUGAGUUAGAUGCCAGCAUAGCAAGACCCUGUCUCAA
rnacentral:sRNA from 1 species